GAGCAGGAGGGGAAAAUUAGGUAGCUCUUCUGCCGUAGCAUAAUGCAGAGCAUAACAUAAUCUGCCACUAGUCAGGAAUGUAUGCCGACAGAGGCUACAAGUAGACUGAAGCUAUCAUCACACUCAAUAACCUGUAACUAGGGACGUUUUUAAAGACGAACAGCUCAGUUUGCAAAUUCUUAUCCUGCAAUCUGUGAGAACACAAUACUGAAAAUUAGACAUAUGAUCGCUAGCAGCCAUCUUACCAUGUGCCUGAUCCACAAAUAACAGGAGAAUGAAGACAACUGUGAAAUAAAAAUAAAAGUACAGCAGAACAGCAGAACAGCAACAUCGCAUUGUAGAAUGUCAGCUGAGUUUGUCAAAUAAUCUUACUCUUUUUGUUCUUUAUUACCUUCAAUUCAUCUAGGUUCGUAAAUUUAUUUUCUAUAUUAUUACUUUCUAUAUUAUUACUGUGCUUUCCGAGUCUUUUGCAAUCAAUCAGUCACACGAAGAGUUAUUACUGGAUUUCUUAUGACAGGCCGUAAGAUACAUAGUCCAUUCUAGAGAGAGUAGAAAUAUAAACCAAGUAUAGGAAAAAUAUUGUGAUCCGUUAAAAAAUGCUUCCAAAGAAAACAUUUUUCAUAAGCACUUAGCCUGGAGAUGACAGUAACUCCUGUUUGGAACAAAACUAAUAAAGAUACAUUAUGAGAAGUUAAGCUUCAGCUCCAUAGCUGAAGUCCUUUGUGCUAAAUGAAGUCAAAGCAAGCUUACUGUGACUGAGAGAGCUGCCUAUGCAAAGAACAGGUCUAGUGAAAACAGUUUUCCCCAAAUGAAGAAGUUAACAAGCAACAGAGGAACUAAAAUGCAUUCACUUCAAAAUAAAUACUAACUCAUAAACCAGGAAUCCAAGUGUGAGUAGUGCUAGAUAUGGAACUUAUUCUCAUUACCCAAGUAAAUGUAACAUAAUAAAAAAGUGUCCCAUGGAAAAGCUGAGAUGUUAUUCAUGAAAAUGAAGCUUACAAUUUUUCAAAAACUGCAAAAGGACAGCAUGCAUUUUAUUGCUUUUCAUGCUUGUUUAGGACAGUCCAAGGAAGAAGUAUGAAUUGUUUCAAAUUUAAACCUUGUGCCAUGCUUAAUUAUGUUUUAUCUGCUGAUGUGACUACGGCAUUGAAAGCAUCAUAAUGCAAAUGUAGUGAUACUUGGAAAACUGAAAUUUGUCCAGAUCUCUGGCCAUUAAUACAUUUCCUGUCACAUGUAUUGCUCCUGGUCUCACUAAUUUCAGUCUUGGUGAACUUCCUCUUUCAUGACUGGUGAAGUGCCUGUGGCUGGAUAACAGAGAUUUGUCUUCAGGGCAAACAUCUCUUCAGCUACACACCUGGCCUAGAAGAAACCUCCCAUUUCAAACUCAACUUGUUAUGACAGUGCCUG